AUUUAAGUAGCUAUAUUUAGUAGAGCGUAACACUGAAGAUGUUAAGGAAAUCAAUGAUUCUUGAAUA
rnacentral:tRNA from 1 species